CUGACAACACUGUCAUGGCUCUAGGAUCGGUAUUUCUGAUGCAUUUCAUUGACCAGUCAUCUGUACAGUGUGAGUCAGUAGCGUUCGAAGGGUUCAGUUGUCUGCGCCUCGUGUUGGAAACCGAACACAGCGGAUACAUGAAGAUGUUCUGUCAGAGGAUGUGGUUUUGGUACGAGAGAGCAAGGGGAAGAGGAAGGGAGGAGUCUGUUCUCUCUCUCUCUCUCGUCGUCUCUGGGAAGAACCAGAAUAGAUGAGCGACAGGUGAGCGUAUUGGAAGGAGAGGACUGAGGUUAGGAUCCAGUUGUUGUUUUAACUUGUGUUUUUAGAGUGUCUUGGGGAGGAUGGUCUGUGUGUUGGAGACAAUGCUUUGAUGAGUGAGAGAAAGCGAGGGAUGAUGGAGAGAGAUGAGACUGAAGGCUUCACUCGGACUUCCUGGGCUACCCACUCCACCAGCCCACCAGACCAUGCAGGA